UACGAAGGGGGCUAGCGUUGCUCGGAAUCACUGGGCGUAAAGCGCACGUAGGCGGUCUUUUAAGUCAGGGGUGAAAUCCUGGAGCUCAACUCCAGAACUGCCUUUGAUACUGGGAGACUUGAGUCCGGGAGAGGUGAGUGGAACUGCGAGUGUAGAGGUGAAAUUCGUAGAUAUUCGGAAGAACACCAGUGGCGAAGGCGGCUCACUGGUCCGGUUCUGACGCUGAGGCGCGAAAGCGUGGGGAGCAAACAGG
rnacentral:rRNA from 1 species